GAGAAAGAUGAGCAUGGCCGUCUACUUCCCUUUGGUGAAACAAAGAAUUUUGAGUAAUUCGCCUAGAAGGAGUAUUGCCCGAAAAGAAGUACUGCCUAGAUUAAACAUCUAGACAACCCGUCUGCUAACUCACUGUAACACCCCAAAAUUUUCGAGCCCUUCACGAAGCCGACUCCGCUGCCAUCUCUCCAUCCAUUUCUCUUCAGCACGCGUCCCGCCUCCGUCCCCCGUCUCCGACUUCAUCUCCGUCUCCAUCUCUAGGGUUGUCGCCCGUCGUCGUCUCCGUCUCUGCAUCGAACAGUUGUCGCGGCCGCCCCCUUUCCGAUCUACCUCCUUGUCUCACGCAACCACAGAUCUGUCGGCCGUCUCUGUCUCUACCGCAAGUUACGUUCCUUCUUCUGUAUGUCGUCCGGUGCAGCACAGAAGAUUCGGGCUAAAUCGCAGAUAGUCGCCGUCGUCGCCGUGUGAGAUUUCAUCCGUCGUCGCGCGCAGCCAAGACUAGCCGUUCGCGUGUGCGCCGGGUACUUCGACCAAGCCGCGAGCCGCAAAUCGAGCCGAACCGCGAGCCAAAAACCGAGCCGAGCCGCGAGUUGAGCCGAGCCGCGAGCCGCAAGCUAAGCCGAGUCGAGCCGCAAGCCGAGUCGAGUAGCAAUCCAAGUCGGGCCGAGCUGCUAUCCAAGCCGAGCCGAGCCGCGAACUGACCAACCCAAGCCGCGAGUCGAGCCGAGUCGAUCACCUCCAAGCCAAGUCGAGCUCCCUGUUCACCGAACCACCUAAGCCUUCUUUCCUCCACUUCGGGUCACGGUGAGUCUUCGGUAUUAGGGAGUUCACGCUCAAGUUCUCGGGUUCCGCGGCAGGCUUGAUUGGAGAUAGCUCUCUUUUACUCGGGUGGAUUCGUUGGGCGUGGACUCGAUCAAGGGGCAUAACUAAGUGUCAGGUAAGGGUACAGUGAGGGGCAGACCGACGAGGGGCAAGAAGGAUGCGUGAAGGCCAUAUGGACGCGUCUGGUUUUCUUUAUGCUUCCGCUAAUGUAUUUUGUUGCUCGUUAUUUUCAUUGUCGGAUCGAGUCAUGGUUAGAAUAUUUGGUUUGUGGUUUUGUUGUUUGAUGAGUUGAGCAUUGUAUUUUGGAACUCUCGUGAAUGUGAUUUAAAAUAGGGUCCGAAACUGCUUUUAUGAUAUUUUGAAAUGUUUUUAAUGAAUCGUAACCGGUCUUUUAUAA